AACGAACGCUGGCGGCAGGCUUAACACAUGCAAGUCGAACGCAUCCUUCGGGGUGAGUGGCAGACGGGUGAGUAACGCGUGGGAACGUGCCCUUCAGUUCGGGAUAACCCAGGGAAACUUGGGCUAAUACCGGAUACGUUCGUGAGCAGAAAGAUUUAUCGCUGAAGGAUCGGCCCGCGUCUGAUUAGCUAGUUGGUGGGGUAAUGGCCCACCAAGGCGACGAUCAGUAGCUGGUCUGAGAGGAUGAUCAGCCACAGUGGGACUGAGACACGGCCCAAACUCCUACGGGAGGCAGCAGUGGGGAAUAUUGGACAAUGGGCGCAAGCCUGAUCCAGCCAUGCCGCGUGAGUGAUGAAGGCCUUAGGGUUGUAAAGCUCUUUCGUCCGGGACGAUAAUGACGGUACCGGAAGAAGAAGCCCCGGCUAACUUCGUGCCAGCCGCCGCCGUAA
rnacentral:rRNA from 1 species